CACCGCAUGUCGGGCCGUGGCCGUCGGUUCGCGUUCGACGAGGACGGCUCGUUCGGAACGGGCUCCGGCGG
rnacentral:tRNA from 1 species